rnacentral:tRNA from 1 species
GUCGAUGUGGCGGAAUAGGCAGACGCACAGGUCUCAAAAACCUGCGGAUAACAUCCAUGUGGGUUCGAUUCCCACCAUCGACACCA